UGCACCUAAAAGCGUUUUCUCGAUCGCUUUAUAAACGCCCUUGAAAAUCGUAGCUGUGUGCUAAAGCAAUUGUCGCGGUUGCAAGUGACUUGAUGCGUUUUAAUUGCUCAAUUCCAUUUACACUGUGCACAUAC